UUUAAUACAUCAGGCUGACCCCAUCUAGCCACACAAACACUACAUCCCACAUGAGAAAGACAACAGAUGGAGAAUUCAGGGGAGAUGAAGACUUCUUUCCUGGGUUCCAGCUUAUUCUUCAGACUCUUUUGCCUAAAGCUUGUUGACCUGGGACUCUGCGAUGUCAGCACGCUCCUGAGCCUCCUCCAUCUCAUGCUGCACCUUCCUGUAUCUGGUGAGGUGAGCGUU